rnacentral:tRNA from 1 species
GGCACCGUGGCUUAGUAGGUUAAAGUCCCUGUCUCAUAAACAUUAGGUCCUGGGUUCAAAUCCCAGCAGUGCCU